AGCUCAAGUAAACUGGUUGUGCGUGUCCUCCCCGUUCUUUGCUUGUGUUUAGAAACCUGUCAAAAGCAAUAGUUACGGUUUACCAUGGAUUAAGGACUUGGUUUGGUUUUAAUCAAACGGCAAUCAGAGGACUAAGCCACCUCUAGUACAUCAAAGAAUGAACUUUUCUUCUUUCUCCGCACCAUCCUGCCAAGUAGGUUCGUGACCAAGGUGCCAGUGAAGAUGCAGUUGAACAUAGCUCCAGCUCUGCGAGGGACUCGCCAGGGUGAUUAAGAUGCUCUUUAGAAAUAAAUCCCAUUUUAAAGAUUCUUUUUUUCUCUCAACAGCAUACAAAUUCAGAGUGAAAGUGUUGGGAAGCAUACUGAAAACAAAAAACCUGCAUACCUAUCCCUUCAAUGACUUGCCUUUCCUUUUGGCAUUUUUCGUUUUCCUAAGAUGUUGCCAAUGGGGUAAAUAAGUGUCUAAGGGCAGGAGGAAAUGCCUAGAUAGGAAGUGAUGUCAGUGAUGGUGAGAGAAAGAAGAUAAUGCCCGAAAUGUCAUGUUGCAAUUUUAAUAAAUACCUUGGGAAGUGGGGUAUCACAUGAAGUAUCACCAACUGCACACACUUUGCAUGCACUGCUGGACGAAAGCAGUGUACAAGCCAUGCUCCUUUCUCUCACCAGAAGACAGAAUUUAGAUAGCUUUCCUGGAAGUUUUGUAUUUAGUGGCUGUGCCAGCAUGAGCAGGUAGCGUGGUGUGGUACAUUGUGCUGAGUCCCUGUUGUCUGCUUUCAUGGAGAGGUGUUACUUUGAUCUAACUCUGAUUUGGUCCUGCUUUUUAGCAGUUGGGAGACUAUAAAGUGUGCUCCAAGUGUGCUCUGGAGCAUGAAGCAUGGUGUUGUGCAUGGAAGUGAUUUGCCUGAAAAGCACACUGGCAGUCUGAAGAAAUCUUGAAGGGAAGGGGUUAUGAAAGAAACCCAUCCAGCAUUCAUUCAUGAUUCGAAUGUCCACAGGUUAAGAAUCCAGGCCUUUUAGCUCAGUCUCUUCCUUAUCAAAUGUAUUUUCACUUGCCAGCUUUUUCUCCUCAGGAUCUAUCACAUCAUGUCUAAUAUUCAGGACAAAGUAGCAGGAUUUUUUCACCUUACAAAAACUGUGUGUUUCUUUGCUCGUUCUCAAAGCCACUGCAGUGCAAGGGAAGACGUUCUGGCUCUCAGUCUGCUUUAAUUCUGAGCAAAGCCCAAUUGAGUAGUCACUUUUCCCCUCGACAAAUUUGCUUCACUGUGGCGUACUUUAAAUAGUGGAAUUUCAGAAAACCAUUCUGCAUAAUGGUAUGCUUAUUUUCUGUUCCUUUGGGUUUUUCUUUUGAAACAUGCUCAAGCUUAUGAGGGCAAUUUAUGAACUGUCCUUCCUGUAGGAGCACCAUAGAUCUUUUUCUAGUCACGUGUCACCGCAAAUACUAAAAGUUUAAGUCAAAUUGUGUCUUAAGUAUUGCUUUUGAUUUAUGCUUUCUGACACUUAGCCAACGUUAUUAUUUUCACUGGGUUUGGGGAACUCUUAAGUGACAGGAAUUUAAUAAAAAAAUUUUACUAGUGCUUCUUAAGAAGAGAAUUCAUCACACACUUAUUCUCACACUGGAAAUAUUUUAUACCAGAAACAAAAUAAACAAAUGAAUGGGAUUUUGACUGAUUUAUGAUUUUUUUUUUUUUUUUUUUAAUUCGAGUAGGAAGUGUUUAUUCCAAAUACAUUAGGAACACAUCUGUUCAGAUAAAAGAUGCCACAUUUGUUUUCCUGCUUUGGAAUAGGAACUUUCCAGCUGCAGUAGUUCUUGUUUUUUUACAAAAGCACACAAUAAAAUUUUUAAUGCAUUAUUGAGAAAUAGUAAUCCUUUCCUUUUACCCCAAAUUGAAAAAACAUCAAUCCAACUGAAAAAGCAUAAAUCCAACUAUGAAAAACUGGAGAGGUGGAUUAAAAAAUAGUCUAUUCUUAAAAGUUACCUUAAAAUACACCUUCAUGGUUAAGAUUUGAAGUAUGAGGAUUUUGAAGCGCCAAGAACAAAGAGCAAAACCAGAAAUACUGUCUUUCCACUGAUGCAAAUCUAUCCCUGUGAUGAUUAUGAGAGAACUAACCUUAAGUAAGGUAUUGUUUCAUGGCUAAAUAGUAUCCAUAUGUUUGUUACACCUAAGACCAAAUACCUCUGUGAUUUUCAUUUUUUUGUUGUUGUUGUUUUUUCGAGAGAUGUUAUCUAGGCACUGGUCAUAGGUCGGGUGGUUGAAAGAGAUUGAACAGAUAUUUGUAGUCAGAAUGCGAAAUGGAGUGAAAGAAGCAUGCUCGGUGUAGCCUAUCCCAGUGUAUCCUGGGACUGUGGGAAUAUCCCCAUGAGAAACUCCCAUUAAACAAAACAUGCUAUUUUUUUUUUCUUCUUUGAAAUUGCACAAAGAGUUCACCGACGUUAUACAAUUUGUUGGUUGCGCUUACUGUAGUAAUUAACAUUUUAAAUAAAACCUUUUCCUGAUGCA